GACUCUGCAAAGUAUGCAGUGUCCAUGGGGCUGCCUACCACAGUUGGUGGCUCUUGAGGUAUCCAAAGAUUUGUGCUGGGAUCCAUACCUGGGGGUCCUGCUGAGGACUUCACCAUGGCAGAGCCUCAACCUUCUGAUCUCAACAGCCAAGUAAAAGGAACUGAGAACAAGAAACGCUUUAGUGAGAUUUUCCGAAGUUUGGAUGCCCUCGAAAUUUCAAUUGGAAAUGCGGUAAUUGAAAUGUUUAGUGAUGAUGCUGAUGACAACAGUAAUGGAUCUUCAAACCCACAGCCUGAAAAAGUACAG